GAGACUAUAUACAGGGGGUACAGGUUAGUAAUGAGACUAUAUACAGGGGGUACAGGUUAGUAAUGAGACUAUAUACAGGGGGUACAGGUUAGUAAUGAGACUAUAUACAGGGGUACAGGUUAGUAAUGAGACUAUAUACAGGGGGUACCGGUACUGAGUCAAUGUGCGGGGUUACAGGUUAGUAAUGAGACUAUAUACAGGGGGUACAGGUUAGUAAUGAGACUAUAUACAGGGGGUACAGGUUAGUAAUGAGACUAUAUACAGGGGGUACAGGUUAGUAAUGAGACUAUAUACAGUGGGUACAGGUUAGUAAUGAGACUAUAUACAGGGGGUACAGGUUAGUAAUGAGACUAUAUACAGGGGUACAGGUUAGUAAUGAGACUAUAUACAGGGGGUACAGGUUAGUAAUGAGACUAUAUACAGGGGGUACAGGUUAGUAAUGAGGCUAUAUACAGGGGGUACAGGUUAGUAAUGAGGUUAUAUACAGGGGGUACAGGUUAGUAAUGAGACUAUAUACACGGGGUACAGGU
ensembl:lncRNA